rnacentral:rRNA from 1 species
CAAUAGCGUAUAUUAAAAUUGUUGCGGUUAAAACGCUCGUAGUUGGAUAUCUGCUAAGGGGUUCCGGUCCUUCCCAGUGAAGAAUACGCGGAACUCUUCUUGGCAUUUAUUCAGGGAAGGUGUUUGCACUUUGUUGUGUGUCACAUGAUCUGAAUUUUUACUUUGAGGAAAUGAGAGUGUUUCAAGCAGGCUUUCGCCGUGAAUAUGAUAGCAUGGAAUAAUAGCACAGGACCCCUUUCCAAAGCUGUUGGUUUUUGGAACGAGGUAAUCAGAAUAAGGAUAGUUGGGGGUAUUCGUAUUUAACUGUCAGAGGUGAAAUUCUUGGAUUUUUUAAAGACGAACUAUUGCGAAGGCAUCUGCCCAGGAUUG